UACGAAGGGGGCUAGCGUUGCUCGGAAUCACUGGGCGUAAAGCGCACGUAGGCGGAUUGUUAAGUCAGGGGUGAAAUCCUGGAGCUCAACUCCAGAACUGCCUUUGAUACUGCAAAUCUCGAGUCCGGAAGAGGUGAGUGGAAUUCCUAGUGUAGAGGUGAAAUUCGUAGAUAUUAGGAAGAACACCAGUGGCGAAGGCGGCUCACUGGUCCGGUACUGACGCUGAGGUGCGAAAGCGUGGGGAGCAAACAGG
rnacentral:rRNA from 1 species